AACCCAUACUCUCCUUCUUCUUGUCUCUUUUUCUCUUCACCUCGUGAAAUGGAUCUUGAUUAAGCAAUCUUUGGGUGGUUUCAUUAGGAUCCAUGUUGUUCUCUUUAAGGGCCGUGUAGAUAUACUCAUCAGAGAAAUUGCCCACGAUUUCCUUGAUUGAUUGUAUCAAUUUCCUCUCUCUAGCAGAAAGAAUAUGCGUCUGUGAUUGCGUCCCAGUAGUAGUAGUAGCAGCAGUACUAGUACUAACAGGGGCGACCAUUUCUCAAUAACACACUCCACGAUCAAAAUCAACAAUUGUGUUAAUUGCCCACUAAAAUAGACUGCUAUAUAAAAUAUGGGUUUAAUCUGAACGGGUAUUAGAGAAAGGCUCGGGUUUGCAUUUGUGGGAAGAAAGAAUAGGU
rnacentral:misc_RNA from 1 species